rnacentral:rRNA from 1 species
UACCCCCCCUAACCAACAACGUCCUAUCAUGCAGUCGACGACUCUGGUAUUGAUUGGUGCUUGCAUCAUGAUUUACAUUUGAGUGAGUGGCGAACUGGUGAGUAACACGUGGGAAACCUGCCCAGAAGCGGGGGAUAACACCUGGAAACAGAUGCUAAUACCGCAUAACAACUUGGACCGCAUGGUCCGAGUUUGAAAGAUGGCUUCGGCUAUCACUUUUGGAUGGUCCCGCGGCGUAUUAGCUAGAUGGUGAGGUAACGGCUCACCAUGGCAAUGAUACGUAGCCGACCUGAGAGGGUAAUCGGCCACAUUGGGACUGAGACACGGCCCAAACUCCUACGGGAGGCAGCAGUAGGGAAUCUUCCACAAUGGACGAAAGUCUGAUGGAGCAACGCCGCGUGAGUGAAGAAGGGUUUCGGCUCGUAAAACUCUGUUGUUAAAGAAGAACAUAUCUGAGAGUAACUGUUCAGGUAUUGACGGUAUUUAACCAGAAAGCCACGGCUAACUACGUGCCAGCAGCCGCGGUAAUACGUAGGUGGCAAGCGUUGUCCGGAUUUAUUGGGCGUAAAGCGAGCGCAGGCGGUUUUUUAAGUCUGAUGUGAAAGCCUUCGGCUCAACCGAAGAAGUGCAUCGGAAACUGGGAAACUUGAGUGCAGAAGAGGACAGUGGAACUCCAUGUGUAGCGGUGAAAUGCGUAGAUAUAUGGAAGAACACCAGUGGCGAAGCGGCUGUCUGGUCUGUAACUGACGCUGAUGCUCGAAGUAUGGGUAGCAAACAGGGAUUAGAUACCCUGGUAGUCCAUACCGUAAACGAUGAAUGCUAAGUGUUGGAGGGUUUCCGCCCUUCAGUGCUGCAGCUAACGCAUUAAGGCAUUCCGCCUGGGGAGUACGGCCGCAAGGCUGAAACUCAAGGAAUUGACGGGGGCCCGCACAAGCGGUGGGAGCAUGUGGUUUAAUUCGAGCCUACGCGAAGAACCCUUACCAGGUCUUGGACAUACUAUGCCAAUCUUAGAAAAUUAGACGUUCCCUUUCGGGGACCAUUGG